rnacentral:rRNA from 1 species
GACGAACGCUGGCGGCGUGCUUAACACAUGCGAGUCGAACGGAAAGGCCCUGCUUUUGUGGGGUGCUCGAGUGGCGAACGGGUGAGUAACACGUGAGUAACCUGCCCUUGACUUUGGGAUAACUUCAGGAAACUGGGGCUAAUACCGGAUAGGAGCUCCUGCUGCAUGGCGGGGGUUGGAAAGUUUCGGCGGUUGGGGAUGGACUCGCGGCUUAUCAGCUUGUUGGUGGGGUAGUGGCUUACCAAGGCUUUGACGGGUAGCCGGCCUGAGAGGGUGACCGGCCACAUUGGGACUGAGAUACGGCCCAGACUCCUACGGGAGGCAGCAGUGGGGAAUAUUGCACAAUGGGCGGAAGCCUGAUGCAGCAACGCCGCGUGCGGGAUGACGGCCUUCGGGUUGUAAACCGCUUUCGCCUGUGACGAAGCGUGAGUGACGGUAAUGUGUAAAGAAGCACCGGCUAACUACGUG